rnacentral:rRNA from 1 species
UAGCUAGUUGGUGAGGUAAAGGCUCACCAAGGCGACGAUCUGUAGCGGGUCUGAGAGGAUGAUCCGCCACACUGGAACUGAGACACGGUCCAGACUCCUACGGGAGGCAGCAGUGGGGAAUUUUGGACAAUGGGGGCAACCCUGAUCCAGCCAUGCCGCGUGAGUGAAGAAGGCCUUCGGGUUGUAAAGCUCUUUCGGCCGGGAAGAAAUCGCAUGGGCCAAUACCCUGUGCGGAUGACGGUACCGGCAUAAGAAGCACCGGCUAACUACGUGCCAGCAGCCGCGGUAAUACGUAGGGUGCGAGCGUUAAUCGGAAUUACUGGGCGUAAAGCGUGCGCAGGCGGUUUUGUAAGACAGGCGUGAAAUCCCCGGGCUCAACCUGGGAACUGCGUUUGUGACUGCAAGGCUAGAGUACGGCAGAGGGGGGUGGAAUUCCACGUGUAGCAGUGAAAUGCGUAGAGAUGUGGAGGAACACCAAUGGCGAAGGCAGCCCCCUGGGUCGAUACUGACGCUCAUGCACGAAAGCGUGGUAGCAAACAGGAUUAGAUACCCUGGUAGUCCACGCCCUAAACGAUGUCAACUAGGUGUUGGGUGGGUAAAACCAUUUAGUACCGGAGCUAACGCGUGAAGUUGACCGCCUGGGGAGUACGGCCGCAAGGUUAAAACUCAAAGGAAUUGACGGGGACCCGCACAAGCGGUGGAUGAUGUGGAUUAAUUCGAUGCAACGCGAAAAACCUUACCUACCCUUGACAUGUCCAGAAGCCUGAAGAGAUUUGGGUGUGCCCGAAAGGGAACUGGAACACAGGUGCUGCAUGGCUGUCGUCAGCUCGUGUCGUGAGAUGUUGGGUUAAGUCCCGCAACGAGCGCAACCCUUGUCGUUAAUUGCCAUCAUUCAGUUGGGCACUUUAACGAGACUGCCGGUGACAAACCGGAGGAAGGUGGGGAUGACGUCAAGUCCUCAUGGCCCUUAUGGGUAGGGCUUCACACGUCAUACAAUGGUCGGUACAAAGGGUUGCCAAGCCGCGAGGUGGAGCCAAUCCCAGAAAGCCGAUCGUAGUCCGGAUCGUAGGCUGCAACUCGCCUGCGUGAAGUCGGAAUCGCUAGUAAUCGUGGAUCUGCAUGUCACGGUGAAUACGUUCCCGGGUCUUGUACACACCGCCCGUCACACCAUGGGAGCGGGUUCCGCCAGAAGUAGGUAGCCUAACCGCAAGGGGGGCGCUUACCACGGCGGGGUUCGUGACUGGGGUGAAGUCGUAACAAGGUAGCCGUAGGGGAACCUGCGGCUG